rnacentral:rRNA from 2 species
GAUGAACGCUAGCGACAGGCCUAACACAUGCAAGUCGAGGGGCAGCACAUGAGUAGCAAUACGAUGGUGGCGACCGGCGCACGGGUGAGUAACACGUAUGCAACCUACCUUCUACCAGGGGAUAACCCGUUGAAAGACGGACUAAUACCCUAUAAUACAGGGGCUCCGCAUGGAGAUAUUUGUUAAAGAUUCAUCAGUAGAAGAUGGGCAUGCGCAUGAUUAGCUAGUUGGCGGGGUAACGGCCCACCAAGGCAUCGAUCAUUAGGGGUUCUGAGAGGAAGGUCCCCCACACUGGUACUGAGACACGGACCAGACUCCUACGGGAGGCAGCAGUGAGGAAUAUUGGUCAAUGGGCGAGAGCCUGAACCAGCCAAGUCGCGUGAAGGAAGACUGUCCUAUGGAUUGUAAACUUCUUUUGUACGGGAAUAAAGUGGGCUACGUGUAGCCUUUUGUAUGUACCGUACGAAUAAGGAUCGGCUAACUCCGUG